GCUCAGAACGAACGCUGGCGGUGUGCUUAAUACAUGCAAGUCGCACGAAGAGGCUCCUUCGGGAGUACUUCAGUGGCGGACGGGUGAGUAACGCGUAGGUAACAUGCCUCAUACAGGGGGACAACAUCGGGAAACCGGUGCUAAUACCGCAUAAGUGCAAGGUUGAAAUACCUUGUAUUAAAGGAGUAAUCCGGUAUGAGAGUGGCCUGCGUUGGAUUAGCUAGUUGGUGGGGUAAAGGCCUACCAAGGCGAUGAUCCAUAGUUGGUCUGAGAGGAUGACCAGCCACAGUGGGACUGAGACACGGCCCACACUCCUACGGGAGGCAGCAGUAGGGAAUAUUGCGCAAUGGGCGAAAGCCUGACGCAGCAACACCGCGUGGAGGACGAAGCCCCUAGGGGCGUAAACUCCUGUCAGCAGGGAUGAUAAUGACAGUACCUGCAGAGGAAGCAUCGGCUAACUACGUGCCAGCAGCCGCGGUAAGACGUAGGAUGCAAGCGUUGUUCGGAAUUAUUGGGCGUAAAGAGUUCGUAGGCGGUGAUUUAAGUCUGGUGUUAAAGCCCGAAGCUCAACUUCGGCAUGGCAUUGGAAACUGAAUCACUGGAGUGUGACAGAGGCAACAGGAAUUCUCGGUGUAGCGGUGAAAUGCGUAGAUAUCGGGAGGAACACCAGUGGCGAAAGCGUGUUGCUGGGUCAUAACUGACGCUGAAGAACGAAAGCCAGGGUAGCGAAAGGGAUUAGAUACCCCUGUAGUCCUGGCCGUAAACGAUGGACACUAGGUGUCGGGGGUAUCGAGCCCCUCGGUGCCGAAGUUAACGCGAUAAGUGUUCCGCCUGGGGAGUACGG
rnacentral:rRNA from 1 species